CGACUGGCCCUUUUCAGGGCCACAAAUGUUUAACACAUGGGAACUU
rfam:Melipona quadrifasciata isolate 0111107301 unplaced genomic scaffold scaffold86, whole genome shotgun sequence.